rnacentral:sRNA from 1 species
CCCUCCCUCCUGUCCUCCUUGCGGUCGACCGGUGCGCUUGCCAGAUCCGCCGCGGAGCCGGGAUCGAAGGCGACAGCGCGGCCAAGGGGGCGCGGCCGGGACAAGCUGGGGGCCGGUUGCCCGGGGCAGGGACGGCGGCGACCCGACCGCUGGGGAGGCGGGAAGAUAGACCCACGGAUCUUAGGAGGGGAUCCGAGAGCGCAGCUGUGAAACUGGCUGGGGCUGGGGGCACGAAACCGAUCAGCACUACGGAGCGCAGCGGCCGGCGGGUUCCAGUGUCCUCCGGCGGCGCCGGUAGCAGGUGAACAGUUCCUCACGCCCAGCUCCGCGCCCUCACGCGCUCUCGCCGGGACCCCGCUCCCGUUCGCAGCCAUGGGCCCCGGCCCCAGCCGCGCGCCCCGCGCCCCACGCCUGAUGCUCUGUGCGCUCGCCUUGAUGGUGGCGGCCGGCGGCUGCGUCGUCUCCGCCUUCAACCUGGAUACCCGAUUCCUGGUAGUGAAGGAGGCCGGGAACCCGGGCAGCCUCUUCGGCUACUCGGUCGCCCUCCAUCGGCAGACAGAGCGGCAGCAGCGCUACCUGCUGCUGGCUGGUGCCCCCCGGGAGCUCGCUGUGCCCGAUGGCUACACCAACCGGACUGGUGCUGUGUACCUGUGCCCACUCACUGCCCACAAGGAUGACUGUGAGCGGAUGAACAUCACAGUGAAAAGUGACCCUGGCCAUCACAUUAUUGAGGACAUGUGGCUUGGAGUGACUGUGGCCAGCCAGGGCCCUGCAGGCAGAGUUCUGGUCUGUGCCCACCGCUACACCCAGGUGCUGUGGUCGGGGUCAGAAGACCAGCGGCGCAUGGUGGGCAAGUGCUACGUGCGAGGCAAUGACCUAGAGCUGGACUCCAGUGAUGACUGGCAGACCUACCACAACGAGAUGUGCAACAGCAACACAGACUACCUGGAGACGGGCAUGUGCCAGCUGGGCACCAGCGGUGGCUUCACCCAGAACACUGUGUACUUCGGCGCCCCCGGUGCCUACAACUGGAAAGGAAACAGCUACAUGAUUCAGCGCAAGGAGUGGGACUUAUCUGAGUAUAGUUACAAGGACCCAGAGGACCAAGGAAACCUCUAUAUUGGGUACACGGUGCAGGUAGGCAGCGCCAUCCUGCACCCCAAAAACAUCACCAUUGUGACAGGUGCCCCACGGCACCGACAUAUGGGCGCGGUGUUCUUGCUGAGCCAGGAGGCAGGCGGAGACCUGCGGAGGAGGCAGGUGCUGGAGGGCUCGCAGGUGGGCGCCUAUUUUGGCAGCGCCAUUGCCCUGGCAGACCUGAACAACGAUGGGUGGCAGGACCUCCUGGUGGGGGCUCCCUACUACUUUCAGAGGAAAGAGGAAGUAGGGGGUGCCGUCUAUGUCUUCAUGAACCAGGCGGGAACCUCCUUCCCUGCUCACCCCUCGCUCCUUCUUCAUGGCCCCAGUGGCUCCGCCUUCGGCUUAUCUGUGGCCAGCAUUGGUGACAUCAACCAGGAUGGAUUUCAGGAUAUUGCCGUGGGAGCUCCGUUUGAAGGCUUGGGCAAAGUGUACAUCUAUCACAGUAGCUCUAAGGGGCUCCUCAGACAGCCCCAGCAGGUAAUCCAUGGAGAGAAGCUGGGACUGCCUGGCUUGGCCACCUUCGGCUAUUCCCUCAGUGGGCAGAUGGAUGUGGAUGAGAACUUCUACCCAGACCUUCUAGUGGGAAGCCUGUCAGACCACAUUGUGCUGCUGCGGGCCCGGCCCGUCAUCAACAUCGUCCACAAGACCUUGGUGGCCAGGCCAGCUGUGCUGGACCCUGCACUUUGCACGGCCACCUCUUGUGUGCAAGUGGAGCUGUGCUUUGCUUACAACCAGAGUGCCGGGAACCCCAACUACAGGCGAAACAUCAGUGAGUGCUGGGGUGCAGCGUAAAAGGGGUACGCUCCCCUGUCCCCUUGCUGACCACCCUGUCUACCUGUAGCCCUGGCCUACACUCUGGAGGCCGACAGGGACCGCCGCCCGCCCCGGCUCCGCUUUGCCGGCAGUGAGUCCGCUGUCUUCCACGGCUUCUUCUCCAUGCCGGAAAUGCGCUGCCAGAAGCUGGAGCUGCUCCUGAUGGACAACCUCCGUGACAAACUCCGCCCCAUCAUCAUCUCCAUGAACUAUUCUUUACCUUUGCGGAUGCCCGAUCGCCCCCGGCUGGGGCUGCGGUCCCUGGACGCCUACCCGAUCCUCAACCAGGCACAGGCUCUGGAGAACCACACUGAGGUCCAGUUCCAGAAGGAGUGCGGGCCUGACAACAAGUGUGAGAGCAACUUGCAGAUGCGGGCAGCCUUCGUGUCAGAGCAGCAGCAGAAGCUGAGCAGGUGGCUGUGGGCCGCCGGCCGAGUUAAUCGGCCAAGGGUGGGACGGGGCCUCAUUAACUGGCAGGGUGGGGGCGGGGCCUCAUGGCAAGGCGAGCCCGAGGGACAGGGCUUUAGCGGGAACAGGUGGGAUGGUCAGAAACGGGGCUUUCUCCUCCAGGUGCGACUAGAGGGCGGGGCCUGGCUGUCCCAAGAUAGGCUUUUCUUACCUAGGAGACCCCAGGGGCGGGGCCUAGUUGAUCCCGGAGGGCCCUGGGGGCGGGGCUCUUGGCUGAGUCCUGGGCUCCUGCUCUCAGGCUCCAGUACAGCAGAGACGUCCGGAAACUGCUCCUGAGCAUCAACGUGACGAACACCCGGACCUCGGAGCGCUCCGGGGAGGACGCCCACGAGGCGCUGCUCACCCUGGUGGUGCCUCCCGCCCUGCUGCUGUCCUCAGUGCGCCCCGUGAGUGCCCGCCGGCCGGCUCAGAGCCCAAGCAGGGCUCCCCGCGUCUUUGCAUCCCCAUAUGCGUGUCCUGUGCAGGUGUUGUCGUCUGCCACGUGCCCCCCUCUUCUGGUCUGGGCCUCCUUGGGGGCCUUAGCGUCUCUGCUGCUUGGAGAAUCUGGCUCUCAAGCUCUAGGGCUUCUGACCUUGCACCACAGAGGAGGGAGGACAAGCCCUACUUUGACCCGACCCUGACCUUAUUCACCUUCUUUCCUCAGCCUGGGGCCUGCCAAGCUAAUGAGACCAUCUUUUGCGAGCUGGGGAACCCCUUCAAACGCAACCAGAGGAUGGAGCUGCUCAUCGCCUUCGAGGUCAUCGGGGUGACCCUGCACACAAGGGACCUUCAGGUGCAGCUGCAGCUCUCCACGUCAAGUCACCAGGACAACCUGUGGCCCAUGACCCUCACUCUGCUGGUGGACUAUACACUCCAGACCUCGCUUAGCAUGGUAAAUCACCGGCUACAAAGCUUCUUUGGGGGGACAGUGAUGGGCGAGUCUGGCAUGAAAACUGUGGAGGAUGUAGGAAGCCCCCUCAAGUAUGAAUUCCAGGUGGGCCCAAUGGGGGAGGGGCUGGUGGGCCUGGGGACCCUGGUCCUAGGUCUGGAGUGGCCCUACGAAGUCAGCAACGGCAAGUGGCUGCUGUAUCCCACGGAGAUCACCGUCCAUGGCAAUGGGUCCUGGCCCUGCCAACCACCUGGAGACCUUAUCAACCCUCUCAACCUCACUCUUUCUGACCCUGGGGACAGGCCAUCAUCCCCACAGCGCAGGCGGCGACAGCUGGAUCCAGGGGGAGGCCAGGGCCCCCCACCUGUCACUCUGGCUGCUGCCAAAAAAGCCAAGUCUGAGACUGUGCUGACCUGUGCCACAGGGCGCGCCCACUGUGUGUGGCUAGAGUGCCCCAUCCCUGAUGCCCCCAUUGUCACCAACGUGACUGUGAAGGCACGAGUGUGGAACAGCACCUUCAUCGAGGAUUACAGAGACUUUGACCGAGUCCGAGUAAAUGGCUGGGCUACCCUAUUCCUCCGAACCAGCAUCCCCACCAUCAACAUGGAGAACAAGACCACGUGGUUCUCCGUGGACAUUGACUCGGAGCUGGUGGAGGAGCUGCCGGCCGAGAUCGAGCUGUGGCUGGUGCUGGUGGCCGUGGGUGCAGGGCUGCUGCUGCUGGGGCUGAUCAUCCUCCUGCUGUGGAAGUGCGGCUUCUUCAAGCGAGCCCGCACUCGCGCCCUGUAUGAAGCUAAGAGGCAGAAGGCGGAGAUGAAGAGCCAGCCGUCAGAGACAGAGAGGCUGACCGACGACUACUGAGGGGGCAGCCCCCCACCCCCGGCCCACCUGGUGUGACUUCUUUAAGCGGACCCGCUAUUAUCAGAUCAUGCCCAAGUACCACGCGGUGCGGAUCCGGGAGGAGGAGCGCUACCCACCUCCAGGGAGCACCCUGCCCACCAAGAAGCACUGGGUGACCAGCUGGCAGACUCGGGACCGAUACUACUGACGUCCUCCCUGAUCCCACCCCCUCCUCCCCCAGUGUCCCCUUUCUUCCUAUUUAUCAUAAGUUAUGCCUCUGACAGUCCACAGGGGCCACCGCCUUUGGCUGGCAGCAGCAGGCUCAGGCACAUACACCUCGUCAAGAGCAUGCACAUGCUGUCUGGCCCUGGGGAUCUUCCCACAGGAGGGCCAGCGCUGUGGACCUUACAACGCCGAGCGCACCGCGGUCCUGUGCCCUAGACGCACGUGGGGCCCACUGCUCGUGGACUGUGCUGGUGCAUCACGGAUGGUGCAUGGGCUCGCCGUGUCUCAGCCUCUGCCAGCGCCAAAACAAGCCAAAGAGCCUCCCACCAGAGCCGAGAGGAAAAGGCCCCCGCAAUGUGGUGACACCUCCCCGUUUCACACUGGAUCCAUCUUCAGCCACAGUCACUGGAUUGACUUUGCUGUCAAAACUACUGACAAGGAGCAGCCCCCUGGGCCCCUGGCUGGUGGGCCCCCAGUGACACCCAUGCCAGAGAGCUGGGGGUCCUGCCUAAGGUUGUCCAUGGGGGCACUUGGAGGACCUGGCGUGCUCAGAUCCAACAGCAAAGGAACUAGAAAGAAGGUCCCAGAAAGGCUUUCUUUCCUGCGUCUCUGUGAAGCCUCUCUCCUUGGCCACAGACUGAACUCACAGGGAGUGCAGCGGGAAGGAACAAAGACAGGCAAACGGCAAGGUAGCCUGGGCUCACUGUGCUGGGGCACGGUGGGAUCCUCCACAGAGAGGAGGGGACCAAUUCUGGACAGACAGAUGCUGGGAGGAUACAGAGGAGAUGCCACUUCUGACUCACCACUACCAGCCAGCCUCAGAAGGCCCCAGAGAGACCCUACAAGACCACGGAGGGAGCGACACUUGAAUGUAGAACAGGCAGGGGGCCCUGCCCCGCCCCAUCCAGCCAGACCCCACGCUGACCAUGCGUCAGGGGCCUAGACGUGGAGUUCUUAGCUAUCCUUGGCUUUCAGAGCCAGCCUGGCUCUGCCCCCUCCCCCAUGGGCUGUGUCCUAAGGCCCAUUUGAGAAGCUGAGGCUAGUUCCAGAAAACCUCUGCUGACCCCUGCCUGUUGGCAGGCCCACUCCCCAGCCCCAGCCCCUUCCAUGGUACUGUAGCAGGGGAAUGCCCCCUCCCCCUCCUCGUGCCUUCUUUGUAUAUAGGCUUCUCACGGCGACCAAUAAACAGCUCCCAGUUUGU